rnacentral:rRNA from 1 species
GACGAACGCUGGCGGCGUGCUUAACACAUGCAAGUCGAACGGAAAGGCCCGGCUUUUGUGGGGUGCUCGAUUGGCGAACGGGUGAGUAACACGUGAGUAACCUGCCCUUGACUUUGGGAUAACUUCAGGGAACUGGGGCUAAUACCGGGUAUGAUCUCCUGCUGCACGUUGUGGGUUGGAAAGUUUCGGCGUUUGUGGAUGGUCUCGCGGCUUAUCAGCUUGUUGGUGGGGUAGUGGCUUUCCAAGGGUUUGACGGGUAGCCGGCCUGGGAGGGUGACCGGCCACAUUGCGCCUGCGAGACGGAGCAGUAUCCUACGGGCGGCAGCAGUGGGGAAUAUUGCACAAUGGCCCGAAGCCUGAUGCAGAAACGCCGCGUGCGGGAUGACGGCCUUCGGGUUGUAAACCACUUUCGCCUGUGACGAAGAGUGAGUGACGGUAAUGGGUAAAGAAGCAACGGCUAACUACGUG